rnacentral:rRNA from 1 species
UGGGGAAUAUUGGGCAAUGGGCGAAAGCCUUACCCAGCAACGCCGCGUGUGGGAAGAAGGUUUUCGGAUUGUAAACCUCUGUCCUGGGGACGAAGGAAGUGACGGUACCCCGGGAGGAAGCCCCGGCUAACUACGUGCCAGCAGCCGCGGUAAUACGUAGGGGGCGAGCGUUGUCCGGAAUUAUUGGGCGUAAAGGGCGCGUAGACGGCCGAGUAAGUUAUAGGUGAAAGCCCAUCUUUCAAGGACGGAAUUGCCUGUAAAUACUGCCUGGCUUGAGUGCAGGAGAGGGAAGCGGAAUUCCUAGUGUAGCGGUGAAAAUGCGUAGAUAUUGGAGGAACACCAGUGGCGAAGGCGGCUUUCUGGACUGUAAACUGACGUUGAGGCGCGAAAGCGUGGGGAGCAAAACAGGAUUAGAUACC